ensembl:lncRNA
AUGAGGAAACUGAGGCAGCCGGAGCCCAGGCCCACUGCUCCAAAGCCUUCAGCACCACCUAGGCCUGGAGAGCUCGGGGAUCCCGGGCUUCCUACACUAGCCAGAGGUGCUGAGCGAGCGGGGAGCCAAUGGCAGCGCCAGCAAAUCCAGCUCUUCUCCCCAUCCCCGCCCUCUACCUCCAGGCCAUCCAGACUUCUUGUACGAACCCCUCCCCCGCCCCCAUUGAGCCCUCCAGGGAGCCCCGCUUCGAGCUGGCUGGCUCAGAAGGAGGCCCAGUGCCCAAGGGGCGCCCAGAUGUGCCCCCUCCCAGGGCCUGAGGGGGGUUUUCUUCUGCCCUUACAAAGAGGGCAGGUGCAGAGCCGGCCCUGGGGGCUCUGGAGAGAGCUGGAGCCGCUUCCUGCCCCAGCGGGGCUGGCACGCUGUGGGUGUUCCCUGAGCUCCUGGUGGGGCAGGGAGCUGGGGAUUGGCUACCCAGCAGCCCAGGGGAGGAGGAGCAGGCAGGGCGGGCAGAGAGGGCCGGCCACCGGCGGGGCACCUGGAGGGGCCAGACGGCCAGCCCAGGCCAGCCCAGAGCAGACUGCAGCCAGCGCUGGCCCCAGGCAGCCAGGUGAGCAGCUCCCAGCCCAGAGCCAGCGCCAUGGACCAGGACAGCAAGCUCCCCGCCAUCGACAAGCUGCAGGGGCUGCACAUCUGGGUCAUCGAGACAAUGAAGAUGGUCCCCGUCCCCGAGAAGGCCUACGGCAGCUUCUUUGAGGGCGACUGCUACGUGGUCCUGCAUGUGAGUGGUCCUCCAAGGAGCCUGGCCACUGGGUCACAGGGGAGGACGGGGUGAGAGGGGAGGGGCAGGGCCAGAAUCCAGGCUGGGGGGGAACUUCACCCCCCUCCCCUGACUCCAGGCCAGGCAGGCAGGCAGCUCUGCCAACGUGUCUCAGCCCCCCCCCCCCGCCACCAAAACCUGCUGUCACUCCUAUCUGGGGCACCCAGAAGGGUGGGUGCAAAUCCUGCCCCUGCCUGUCAGGGUGACCUUAGACCCAUCUUUUGGCCCUUCUGCUCCGCUUCUGGGCCCUUCACUCCCCUCAGCCAGCCCAGCUCAAUGAUCUGUUCAUUCCCUCAGCAGCUCCCUGAAGCUGCCCCCCGAGCCAGUCACAGCCUCCUGCCUGGGGGAGGCCCCCCUCCUCCGUGGGGCAGCAUCAGAUUCAGGCUCCUUGUCCUGGCCUCCAAGGCCCCCCCCCCCAGCUCCCACAGGGGUUCUUGUCUCCUCCAGAAAGUCCCUGAAAAGCCUGUCCUGAUCAGCAAGGCGAGGCUCCAAUGCCACCUCCCCCAUGAAGCCCACCCUGAUUGUCCUGGGUGACAAUUCAGUCCCAUCCAAGGGGCAUUUAUUCAGUUGUGCCUAUGUGCCUGGCACAAGGAUGGGCGCUGGGCACAUCAAGGCAGUGGUGAAACAGGUGUAGCCUUCGAGGAGCUGGAAUCCUUCUGGGGAGCCGGGGGCCCCGCAGGAUUGAACCCAUGCCAAGAUGGGCGAACCCCAGAGCGUUUCCGGAGAGGCACAGAGUGCCUCUGAAGUCCCUUUCAGCUCUAAAUCUCAGACAUCAGAGAAGGCUUCCUGUCAGCCGGCCCAAGGCUCUAAGGGGGGAUGGGAUGACUGGGAGCAGGCAGAUGCCGACAGGCCAGAAGAACUGGCAUGCCUGGCGUGGAGAUGGCCCGAGGAAGAGGCGGGCUCGGACCCAGCCCCCCUCUGCCCCCUUAUGGGCUA